GACGAACGCUGGCGGCGUGCUUAACACAUGCAAGUCGAACGGAAAGGCCCUGCUUUUGUGGGGUGCUCGAGUGGCGAACGGGUGAGUAACACGUGAGUAACCUGCCCUUGACUUUGGGAUAACUUCAGGAAACUGGGGCUAAUACCGGAUAGGAGCUCCUGCUGCAUGGUGGGGGUUGGAAAGUUUCGGCGGUUGGGGAUGGACUCGCGGCUUAUCAGCUUGUUGGUGGGGUAGUGGCUUACCAAGGCUUUGACGGGUAGCCGGCCUGAGAGGGUGACCGGCCACAUUGGGACUGAGAUGCGGGCCAGACUCCUACGGGAGGCAGCAGUGGGGAAUAUUGCACAAUGGGCGGAAGCCUGAUGCAGCAACGCCGGGUGGGGGAUGACGGCCUUCGGGUUGUAAACCGCUUUCGCCUGGGACGAAGAGUGAGUGACGGUAAUGGGUAAAGAAGCACCGGCUAACUACGUG
rnacentral:rRNA from 1 species